rnacentral:rRNA from 1 species
UACGGGGGGUGCGAGCGUUGUCCGGAAUCACUGGGCGUAAAGGGCGCGUAGGUGGUUUGAUAAGGGUGUGGUGAAAGUCCGGGGCUCAACCCCGGAUCUGCCGUGCCGACUGUCAAACUCGAGGACUGUAGAGGCAGACGGAAUUCCAGGUGUAGCGGUGGAAUGCGUAGAGAUCCGGAGGAAGACCGGUGGCGAAGGCGGUCUGCUGGGCAGUUUCUGACACUGAGGCGCGACAGCGUGGGGAGCAAACAGG